AAAUUGUCCUAAAUUGAAAAGCACCCUGCCUCAACACCUUUCUUCUUUACAAAAAUUGAAGAUCAGUGAUUGCAACGAGUUGGAGGAAUUGUUAUGCCUUGGAGAGUUUCCUUUGCUUAAAGAGAUUUCUAUAUCCUUUUGUCCCGAAUUGAAAAGGGCUCUGCAUCAACACCUUCCUUCUUUACAAAAACUGGAGAUUCGGAAUUGCAACAAGUUGGAGGAAUUGUUAUGCCUUGGAGAGUUUCCUUUGCUUAAAGAGAUUUCUAUAAGAAAUUGUCCCGAAUUGAAAAGGGCUCUGCCUCAACACCUUCCUUCUUUACAAAAACUGGAUGUAUUUGAUUGCAACGAGUUGGAGGAAUUGUUAUGCCUUGGAGAGUUUCCUUUGCUUAAAGAGAUUUCUAUAAGAAAUUGUCCCGAAUUGAAAAGGGCUCUGCAUCAACACCUUCCUUCUUUACAAAAACUGGAGAUUCGGAAUUGCAACAAGUUGGAGGAAUUGUUAUGCCUUGGAGAGUUUCCUUUGCUUAAAGAGAUUUCUAUAAGAAAUUGUCCCGAAUUGAAAAGGGCUCUGCAUCAACACCUUCCUUCUUUACAAAAUCUGGAGAUUCGGAAUUGCAACAAGUUGGAGGAAUUGUUAUGCCUUGGAGAGUUUCCUUUGCUUAAAGAGAUUUCUAUAAGAAAUUGUCCCGAAUUGAAAAGGGCUCUGCCUCAACACCUUCCUUCUUUACAAAAACUGGAUGUAUUUGAUUGCAACGAGUUGCAGGAAUUGUUAUGCCUUGGAGAGUUUCCUUUGCUUAAAGAGAUUUCUAUAUCCUUUUGUCCCGAAUUGAAAAGGGCUCUGCAUCAACACCUUCCUUCUUUACAAAAACUGGAGAUUCGGAAUUGCAACAAGUUGGAGGAAUUGUUAUGCCUUGGAGAGUUUCCUUUGCUUAAAGAGAUUUCUAUAACAAAUUGUCCCGAAUUGAAAAGGGCUCUGCCUCAACACCUUCCUUCUUUACAAAAACUGGAUGUAUUUGAUUGCAACGAGUUGCAGGAAUUGUUAUGCCUUGGAGAGUUUCCUUUGCUUAAAGAGAUUUCUAUAUCCUUUUGUCCCGAAUUGAAAAGGGCUCUGCAUCAACACCUUCCUUCUUUACAAAAACUGGAGAUUCGGAAUUGCAACAAGUUGGAGGAAUUGUUAUGCCUUGGAGAGUUUCCUUUGCUUAAAGAGAUUUCUAUAAGAAAUUGUCCCGAAUUGAAAAGGGCUCUGCCUCAACACCUUCCUUCUUUACAAAAACUGGAUGUAUUUGAUUGCAACGAGUUGGAGGAAUUGUUAUGCCUUGGAGAGUUUCCUUUGCUUAAAGAGAUUUCUAUAAGAAAUUGUCCCGAAUUGAAAAGGGCUCUGCCUCAACACCUUCCUUCUUUACAAAAACUGAAGAUUAGUAAUUGCAACAAGAUGGAGGCAUCAAUUCCCAAGUGUGAUAAUAUGAUAGAGUUAGAUAUACAGAGUUGUGAUAGAAUUUUGGUAAAUGAAUUGCCGACUAGCCUGAAAAAGUUACUCCUUUGGCAAAAUCGGAACACGGAGUUCUCCGUGGACCAAAAUUUAAUCAAUUUUCCCUUUCUUGAAGACUUGAAGUUGGAUUUCAGAGGCUGUGUAAACUGUCCCUCUUUGGAUUUACGUUGCUAUAAUUUUCUUCGUGAUCUUUCAAUAAAAGGCUGGUGCUCCUCCUCCUUGCCUUUGGAACUACACUUGUUCACCAGUCUUCGUUCUCUGCGUCUGUACGAUUGUCCAGAGCUGGAAUCGUUUCCAAUGGGUGGUUUGCCUUCCAACUUGAGGGACCUUGGAAUAUACAAUUGCCCAAGACUGAUUGGUUCGAGAGAGGAGUGGGGGUUGUUCCAACUCAAUUCCUUGAGAUAUUUCUUUGUUAGUGAUGAGUUUGAAAACGUGGAGUCGUUCCCAGAGGAGAAUCUGCUGCCACCAACUCUGGACACUCUUGAUUUAUAUGAUUGUUCAAAGCUAAGAAUAAUGAACAACAAGGGUUUUCUCCACCUCAAAUCUCUCAAAUAUCUAUAUAUUGAAGACUGUCCUAGUCUUGAGAGCUUGCCAGAGAAGGAGGAUCUACCCAACUCCCUUACUACUUUGUGGAUUGAAGGUAAUUGUGGAAUAAUAAAGGAGAAGUAUGAAAAGGAGGGAGGAGAGCUUUGGCAUACAAUUAGUCACAUCCCUUGUGUGUAUAUUGACUAGCCAACUCUCUUGAGCAUUUGACCAUUAAGAAUUGUGGAAUAAUAAAGGAGAAGUAUGAAAAGGAGGGAGGAGAGCGUUGGCAUACAAUUACUCACAUCCCGAAUGUGUGGAUAUCUGAAUUCAAUUAGGCAGGAAUGAAGGUUAAUUGCACCGCCACAUAGUGCUAGCAAGACCAAGUUAUGGGUCCCACAUACUUUGACUCUUUGUGAAUAUCUGAAUUCAGGUGAACAAAUUUCCCACACACAAGGGUUAUUACGCUGAAUUAAGGUCCGAAUAUAUCUCUUAGUCAAAUAUUUGUUAUUUUUCUUUUAUUUCCCCUUUUUUUAUUCUUAUUUUCUGACUUAUAUAUUUUUUCACAGGACAAGAGGGAUUCUUCAUUUAGAAUAGUUUGAAGAGUGGUGGGAAUUUGUUUUUGUAUGAUUUGGGACAAUAUGAGUGAGGGUAGUUUCGGAAAUGAUGAUUGUGUUAGAGAACAAACUCAAUUGGAGUGUGGUGAUUCAAUCUUUGCUCUGAAUUAUCUUUUUAGUUCCCAACAUAUCUUCUUCCUCUUCAGGUAAAAUACUUACUAUUUGUGGAUUAACCGAGCUAUUGGCCAUGUUGGAUGAAAAUUGUUGUAUACACAUAUUAAAGGAUUGAAAAACACUAGUAAAAGAUCGAAAUACCCUUCAGGAGUUAACUGUCGAGGAAGCUAAUCGGUUGCAGUUAAAUGUCGUAGAGCUUCAAACCUGACACAUACAAACCAUCUGAUCACCGUCAAACGACCAAGAUCAACGACUGCAUGAUUAAAUUAAACAAAAACGACACAAUUGAUUAAAUUAAAUUAAAUUAAAUGUACUAUAAAUGCAUUACAUAUGUGAGUCAAAUCUUAAUUUACCAAUUGAACAAAAACGACACAAUUGAUUAAGUUAAAUUAAAUGCACUAAAAGUCAAAUCCUAAUUUUCCAAAUUAAACAAAAACAACACAAUUGAUUAAAUUAAAUUACUGUUAUUUUCCAGCUAUUUUACAAAAUUUAUAGGUCCACUAUUGCAUUAUUGAUUUAUUUUUCCACGCAAUAAGUAGUACCAGUUUGAUUUACGUCCCAUAGAUUAAUUUUUUUUUGUCCUUUACCAACACUUUAUACCAUAAGAUAUACAGAACUAGAUAGAAGUAUAUAAUGUAUGAUAAAUAGUAGUGUUGUGUAUAAUGGCUAAUUAUACAGUGAAAAUGCACGAUAACUGCACUACAUAUGAGUCAAAUUUUGGCACUAUUAAGAAUAAAUAUUAAGAAUAUAUAUUGGUCAAGAUUAAGAAUAUUUUUUUAUUACCCUUAAAAAAAAAAGAAUAUUUUUUAUUAUCUUGAAUAAUGAUAGACAUCAACGAAAUUAAUUAUAAAUAUUUCCUUAUUAAAGAAUUAAAUUUAAUUAAGGAAAAAUUUAGAUGUAUUUCAUUAUUUAAGUUCAGGUUUUAAGUUCUUCGACAGUUAACUGCCAAAGUUUUUCUCGAUAGUUAGCUGCCAAAGGGGUAUUUCGGUCUUUUACUAGUGUUUCUCAGCCCUUUAACAUGUGUAUACAGCCAUUUUCAUGUUGGAUUUACGGUGAAUUUGAUAGAAUCGUGGUAAUUUUGUCAAAAUUUAUACUUUUGAACUUCAACAAAAUCAGGUACUCAUUCCAUGAUCAUUUGAUGUAUGGACUGUGUAUAUGUGUCCAUAUCUGAAAUAACUUUAGAAAUUAGAAACCAUUUUUUUACUGUAAUAAAUAAGCCUAUUUGUGCCUUAGGAUCUAUAAGGCGCGGACACUCCUCGGAUUAGGUGUGUCUCGGUAUCGGACAUGUGUUGUGUCCAACACGACACCGACAUAUAUAAUUAUGCGUGAUUUUCUCAAAUUAUUAGCGGUGUCGACAUGUCAGUGUACGUGUCCGUAUCCGUGCUUCGUAUCUUAGGAUGUAGUCAAUUUUAUCCUAGUGUGUCUUAAUUAUUAUUUUUUAAAAUACAUAGGGAAGUUAUGCAACUGGGAGGUUAGGCAGUUAUUUGAUGUAAACUGUCACAAUCCGUCUCUAUUCAGUAAACAAGAUGCUGAUAUAUCUGAUGUGCUUGUGUAAACAAAAUGGUUUGAUAGAAAUUAUACAGAUGAGCAUUAAUUUUCGUAAAAUACUCCAUAUUGUGUAAACAAAAUGGUUUUACAGAAAUUAAAUAAAAGAGCAUUAAUUUUCUUCAAUACUCUUGCUUUUAAUUGCUUUUAAUCCAAUCUUGAUAUAUUUUUACAAGGUUGUGACCUAAGAGGGCAUCUUUCAAAUAAAGUUGUAUUAAAACUUUUAUUAUAGUACUGAUUUGAAUUAUGAAAUGUAUUUUACUUUGAAAAAUUCAACUGGAUGGCAUAAUAAUUAUAUUCUUUGAGACAGUUCUGCAUCAAGGGCUGAAGGAUGCCAGGGAGUUGAUCUUGCACAUUCAAAGGCAUAACAUGUUACCUUUCAAAGAUAUUACUUACAAUGGUAAGUGCUCUCAGCAUUCUUAGGUUACACUUAACUGAGUAGAUGAAAAUUGGAAAUUAAAAAGAAAAAAAAACAUUCAUAACAGGCUUACUUUAAUUUAAAAUCUGCUACUUUCUGUUCAGUACAUGGUUUAGAUAGAUAAGGCAUUGUUCUUGCUAUAAAAAAGAGGUAGCAGGGCACACAAUUUCGCAACAAAGAAAUUUUGGUUUUUGUUUCUUUCAUCCAAAGAUGAUUUAGACUCGACGUAGAGCCUCGUGAUCAUGUGUGGGCAAGGGAAGAGGCUGACAUUGUUUGAAUUCCAUCCAUUCCAAUUUGUUCAUGGUUUGUAUUCAAGCAUUAUAAUGAAACAUAUUUCACUUACUUUUAUAAAGGUCUUCUAAAACUAUGUUUCAAAGUGUUCUGCAACAAAUUGUCAUACACCAUAUUCUGACUUUAUGAGCCAUCUUUUUUAUUCUGUUUACGCUGAUUGUCUGUUUUUCUUCUUGUGUCUUCCCAGGAAACAUGAGACUUGAGAAAAGAAGCCGAUGAAUUAAUUGCAUCAACCAAUUACAUGGUGAGGAUGUCAUGUGGCCUUUUACCGUGAUUUUCAUUUUAUUUAUAUUUUUAAUUGUUAAGUGAUAAAAAAUUGAAUGACAUGCCACUUUGUUGUUUAAGGGAAUUUUGGUGGAUUCAAUGACAUCCAACUUGAGAAAAAACCACUGUCCUCAUGGUGGAUGAGAGCUUCCAUGGUGUUUGGAACAACCAAUGACUCUUCCAAUGAUUUUUACUAAGACUGGACUGCAUUUUAUAUGCUGCCAAAUGUAACACAGAACCAUUCUGCAAUGCACCACUCCAAGGAAAUUAGGAGCAUCAGUACAAAGUUAACCAACUCCAAGUGGAAUAAACAUGUGUUUCAGACGAAGAAUAUCAUUGUUGAGAUGUGAUGUCAAGACUCAGGCAUCGACUUCAACAUCUUACUCUUUGUAUGUCCUUCCUAGUUCAUACACCGGAAGUUGACUUGUCAAUUUAGUGAAAUUCAAUAAAACACUACUUUUCAUUGCAGUACUUCUGAUUGUAAUUCAUUACUUUUUCUCAGUUUGUGAAUAAGUUUAUCUUUCUGCAUCAUUAGAAGGUUCUUCUGUGCUCAAAAAGCCACAACAGUUCGUUAAGCAUAUGUUAACUCCAUUGUCUUUAAUUUCUGCAUACCGUGACACGCUCUUUUAGUAAUAUAAAUUGCAUCAUGUCAUCUUUUCCCUAGUUUUACAUUCAAACAUAGUUAAGAUCACAUAUAAUUAUCUCACUGGCUUAUCUCUCAGAGCUUGUGGAUGAGAUAAGAAACUUAAAACUUUUGCGUUACCUAGACCUUUCUUACGUAUAAUUUGCAAACUCUCUUGUUGGGAGGUUGUGGUGAAUUGACUGAGCUCCCUUCAAAUUUUUCCAAACUCAUCAAUUUACGUCAUCUUGAGCUCCCUUGUAUAAAUAAAAUCCCAAAGAAUAUGGGAAAGCUAAAUAAUCUUCAGACCUUGUCAUAUUUUAUUGUGGAAGCCCAUAAUGAAUCUGAUCUCAAAGAUUUGGCAAAACUCAACCAUCUUCAUGGAACAAUUCAUAUUAAAGGCUUGGGUAAUGUCAGUGAUACUGCAGAUGCUGCCCCAUUAAAUUUGAAAGAUAUAGAAGAAUUGCAUACUGAGUUCAAUGGCGGAAGAGAAGAAAUGGCUGAAAGCAACCUGUUAGUCUUGGAGGCUAUACAACCAAAUAGCAACUUGAAGAAGCUCAACAUCACACACUACAAAGGUAGUAGAUUUCCAAAUUGGCUAAGGGGUAGUCAUUUACCCAACUUAGUAUCUCUUCAACUGAAUGGUUGUGGGUUAUGUUCCUGUUUGCCACCCCUUGGACAACUCCCUUCUCUUAAGAAACUUUCCGUUUAUGAUUGUGAAGGAAUAAAGAUCAUUGAUGAAGAUUUUUAUGACAAUAAUUCAACAAUUGUUCCAUUCAAGUCCCUUCAAUUUUCGAUAUUUGAGAAUAUGGUGAACUGGGAGAAAUGGAUAUGUCUAAGGUUUCCUUUGCUUAAAGAGCUUUCUAUAAGAAAUUGUCCUAAAUUGAAAAGCACCUUGCCUCAACAGCUUCCUUCUUUACAAAAAUUGUGCAUAAAUAAUUGCAACAAGUUGGAGGAAUGGUUAUGCCUUGGAGAGUUUCCUUUGCUUAAAGAGAUUUCUAUAACAAGUUGUCCCGAAUUGAAAAGGGCUCUGCCUCAACACCUUCCUUCUUUACAAAAACUGGAGAUU
rnacentral:lncRNA from 1 species